GUGCCAGCCGCCGCGGUAAUACAGAGGGGGCAAGCGUUGUUCGGAAUUACUGGGCGUAAAGGGCGCGUAGGCGGCCGACUAAGUCAGACGUGAAAUCCCAUGGCUCAACCAUGGAACUGCGUCUGAUACUGGAUGGCUUGAGUUCGGGAGAGGGAAGUGGAAUUCCAGGUGUAGCGGUGAAAUGCGUAGAUAUCUGGAGGAACACCGGUGGCGAAGGCGGCUUCCUGGACCGACACUGACGCUGAGGCGCGAAAGCCAGGGGAGCAAACGGGAUUAGAUACCCUCGUAGUCC
rnacentral:rRNA from 1 species